CGAACAUACAUGCAGGAGACACGGUUGCC
rnacentral:piRNA from 1 species